CAGAGCGAGGGCGAUUCACGGCUUGGCCAAAAAACUGUCGGCCUGGAACGUAAACGUCGAUCUGCCGACACAGUUCACCUGGUUCACACGCCUGACCUCGACCUGGCAUGCUGCCUUGCGUGAAAGGAACAUUUUUCGGAAAGCAAGCUUCUUCUCCAAAAUUCGAAAUUUCCUUCCAAAAAAUGCCGUCGUCCUUGACCUCGAAGCUGAAUGUUGUUAGGAUAGAAAAUUAGCGAAGAUGUAGCCGACCCAUUCUGGCAAGCCGUGUGCCCUCUGGAUAUGCAGUUGUUCGCCAUGGUCAACAAUCUUCUUCUCCUUCGUUCGUACUUUCACUUUCCUGACCACGAAUACAAGCGGUACCCAUGCUCAGGAUUGUAGCCAAGGGUGAAUACCAUUAUCAUGAGCGAAGGUCUCUGAGAACCCAUGUCUGAAAGCUGGUCAUGUUGGCCCAACGCUGACUUUCAUUGUCUGUAUCCGCCACCUUCAUACUGGAAUGAACUGGAACAUGUUCACUCUCUGUUUCUCAUGUGGAAGGACGGAACAGAUUGUUUGUCUGUCUCUGUGGAUCACCGAAGGCUGAACAGUACAGUUGGAAGAAUAUUGGAUCUCACGAAGUGCCUGAAUCUGAAGCGGCUGACAUGCAUCUGCACAGCGCUGUCUUUCUGAGAUUUGCUUCAAGGCAGGUUAUUGUGUACAAUUUUGUCCACAGUAUUCCAAUAUUUGCCAAACGUAUUUCUCUGAUAGGAUUGCGACUACACACGCGCAAUGAUCUCUCCGUCAUCAGUCUUUCGCAAUGAUGUGGCUCACUGAUGACAGCAUGCAUAGCCAUAGAUCAAAUGAGCAGCUAAGGUAGUUGAAGCAGAAGAAUGGAUCAAUGCAUCCUGAACCUUGUGUACUGCCUAUAUGCACUCUCAGAAGUAUUUGUAACGUAUUAACUAUGAAGUAUCAA